rnacentral:rRNA from 1 species
AUUGAACGCUGGCGGCAGGCCUAACACAUGCAAGUCGAGCGAGCGGCGGACGGGUGAGUAAUGUCUGGGAAACUGCCUGAUGGAGGGGGAUAACUAAUCGAAAGAUUAGCUAAUACCGCAUAUUAUUCGAGCGGCCGAUAUCUGAUUAGGUAGUUGGUGAGGUAAAGGCUCACCAAGCCGACGAUCUCUAGCUGGUCUGAGAGGAUGACCAGCCACACUGGGACUGAGACACGGCCCAGACUCCUACGGGAGGCAGCAGUGGGGAAUAUUGCGCAAUGGGGGCAACCCUGACGCAGCCAUGCCGCGUGAAUGAAGAAGGCCUGCGGGUUGUAAAGUUCUUUCGGUAGCGAGGCGUUAACUACAGAAGAAGCACCGGCUAACUCCGUGCCAGCAGCCGCGGUAAUAC